rnacentral:piRNA from 1 species
UGGACUAUUUUGGGAGACUUGUGUGA